rnacentral:rRNA from 1 species
UACGUAGGUGGCGAGCGUUCUCCGGAUUUACUGGGUGUAAAGGGCGUGUAGGCGGCUCUGCAAGUCAGAAGUGAAAUCCCCGGGCUUAACUCGGGAGCUGCUUCUGAAACUGUAGAACUUGAGUACUGGAGGGGAAAGCGGAAUUCCUAGUGUAGCGGUAAAAUGCGCAGAUAUUAGGAGGAACACCGGUGGCGAAGGCGGCUUUCUGGACAGUAACUGACGCUGAGGCGCGAAAGCGUGGGGAG